rnacentral:rRNA from 1 species
GACGAACGCUGGCGGCGUGCUUAACACAUGCAAGUCGAACGGAAAGGCCCUGCGUUUGUGGGGUGCUCGAGUGGCGAACGGGUGAGUAACACGUGAGUAACCUGCCCUUGACUUUGGGAUAACUUCAGGAAACUGGGGCUAAUACCGGAUAGGAGCUCCUGCUGCGUGGUGGGGGGUGGAAAGUUUCGGCGGUUGGGGAUGGACUCGCGGCUUAUCAGCUUGUUGGUGGGGUAGUGGCUUACCAAGGCUUUGACGGAUAGCCGGCCUGAGAGGGUGACCGGCCUCAUUGGGCCUGCGAUACGGCCCAGACUCCUACGGGAGGCAGCAGUGGGGAAUAUUGCACAAUGGGCGGACGCCUGAUGAAGAAACGCCGCGUGCGGGAUGACGGCCUUCGGGUUGUAAACCGCUUUCGCCUGUGACGAAGCGUGAGUGACGGUAAUGGGUAAAGAAGCACCGGCUAACUACGUG